rnacentral:snRNA from 1 species
CGAGUGUGAGCAUGCCUG